rnacentral:rRNA from 1 species
CCUACGGGAGGCAGCAGUGGGGGAUAUUGCACAAUGGGGGGAACCCUGAUGCAGCGACGCCGCGUGGGUGAAGAAGCGCCUCGGCGCGUAAAGCCCUGUCAGCAGGGAAGAAAAUGACGGUACCUGACGAAGAAGCCCCGGCUCACUACGUGCCAGCAGCCGCGGGAAUACGUAGGGGGCCAGCGUUAUUCGGCUUUACUGGGUGUAAAGGGGGCGCAGAUGGCGAUGCAAGCCAGGAGUGAAAGCCCGGGGCCCAACCCCGGGACUGGUCUUGGAACUGCGUGGCUGGAGUGCAGGAGGGGCAGGCGGAAUGCGUGGGGUAGCGGUGAAAUGCGUAGAUAUCAGGAGGAACACCGGUGGCGAAGGCGGCCUGCUGGACUGCAACUGACGUUGAGGCCCGAAAGCGUGGGGAGCAAACAGGAUUAGAUACCCUUGUAGUC